rnacentral:rRNA from 1 species
GACGAACGCUGGCGGCGUGCCUAAUACAUGCAAGUAGAACGCUGAAGAGAGGAGCUUGCUCUUCUUGGAUGAGUUGCGAACGGGUGAGUAACGCGUAGGUAACCUGCCUUGUAGCGGGGGAUAACUAUUGGAAACGAUAGCUAAUACCGCAUAACAAUGGAUGACACAUGUCAUUUAUUUGAAAGGGGCAAUUGCUCCACUACAAGAUGGACCUGCGUUGUAUUAGCUAGUAGGUGAGGUAACGGCUCACCUAGGCGACGAUACAUAGCCGACCUGAGAGGGUGAUCGGCCACACUGGGACUGAGACACGGCCCAGACUCCUACGGGAGGCAGCAGUAGGGAAUCUUCGGCAAUGGGGCAACCCUGACCGAGCAACGCCGCGUGAGUGAAGAAGGUUUUCGGAUCAUAAAGCUCUGUUGUAAGUCAAGAACGAGUGUGAGAGUGGAAAGUUCACACUGUGACGGUAGCUUACCAGAAAGGGACGGCUAACUACGUG